UACGUAGGGCGCAAGCGUUGUCCGGAAUUAUUGGGCGUAAAGAGCUCGUAGGCGGUCUGUUACGUCCGCUGUGAAAACCCAGGGCUUAACCCUGGGCUUGCAGUGGAUACGGGCAGACUAGAGGCAGGUAGGGGAGAAAUGGAAUUCCCGGUGUAGCGGUGAAAUGCGCAGAUAUCGGGAGGAACACCGGUGGCGAAGGCGGUUCUCUGGGCCUGACCUGACGCUGAGGAGCGAAAGCGUGGGGAGCGAACAGG
rnacentral:rRNA from 1 species